rnacentral:rRNA from 1 species
UACGGAGGGUGCAAGCGUUAUCCGGAUUCACUGGGUUUAAAGGGUGCGUAGGCGGGCAGGUAAGUCAGUGGUGAAAUCCUAGAGCUUAACUCUAGAACUGCCAUUGAUACUAUCUGUCUUGAAUAUUGUGGAGGUAAGCGGAAUAUGUCAUGUAGCGGUGAAAUGCUUAGAUAUGAACAUAGAACACCUAUUGCGAAGGCAGCUUACUACGCAUAUAUUGACGCUGAGGCAACGAAAGCCGUGGGGAUCAAACAGG